rnacentral:lncRNA from 1 species
UCCUUUCCCUUUCACUUUGUUUUUUUCUUUCCAAAUUCAUUUUCUCCUCAAUUUCCUUCCUUACACAAUUCAGCCUUUAUUUGUUUGCUCUGCCGUUCGUUUAGCAUUAUAUAUUUUUAAAAAAGGUAUGUAAUAGUAGUCCUUAUCUCGUAAUUUAUGUGACACAGUUCGAAUUGUUAAACAUUUUAAUUUUGAUUGUAAAUUCGGGUGUGGAAUCUUUUAUGAUUGACCCUUUGUUUGAUAAUUUCAGAUUCCAGUGAUUUUAUAUUUUAUUUUUGUAUGAAUGUUGAUGAACUAAUCUGCUAUUAUUACUUGCUUCAGGUCCUUGGAUUCUGAAAAUACUAUAAAGAUUUGAUUUUUGAUUUUGUGGAGAAACAGGGCCAAACCCCAUUUCAAUUCUUGGGAUUCACCUUCUUUUUUUCACUUAAAGAGAGGAUCUUUAUAAGAUUUCAGAAGUUUUUAGCAUUAGUUUGGCACAAUUUUUGUACUUAAGAGAGGUAGCUUUAGUCUGCUUUGAGAAUGCUUCCUUCCUUAUUUUCUCCAUUCUUUUGGUUUGUUUGUGUCAUUUUGUUUCAAAUGAUUUGGUUUCUUACGACAAUACAAAUACGUGAAGUGGAUACUUCUUAAUUAUUGGA